rnacentral:lncRNA from 1 species
GUUCAGCCGCCGCUGCUGGCGCGCACUGUACAGCGGCAUCAGCCGCUUGUAGGACAUGUCCAGCAGCUGGUCCAGGUCCACGCCACGGAAGUGCAACUGGACAGCACUGACCCAGAGACAGGGGUUAAAAUGGACCUUCCUUCCUAUCAAGCCAUGGACUAAUGAUUAAGGAGUGGGACCAUUUAUCAGACCUGUCUAGUCUAUGAAUUCCACCCCAAGGGCCACAGUUGUGCACGGGCAUUGAGCCAAUCCCUGGACUUCUGCUGGCACGUGGGAGGAAGGACUCUCUCUUUCCAUGAGGAUUGCUGAGAGGAAGCCUAGGGCUGCCAGCAAUCAUCCUGCCACCGCACGGGAGGUGCACACCUGAAUGAAGGUAACAGCCGCAGAGAGCAAAGCCCACAUGGAGGAGCCAGGACAGGAUGGGGACAACAAGGCUUGAGCCCCUAGAUCCGGGCAUGCCUGGCCUUUUAGAUAACCAAUUUCUGCGAAGAAGUGCUUCCUCUUUUGCACUGUUAAGUCAGCUGAAGAACCACUUGUAGAAGAAAAUUGGAUAAAUGUUAGCUGCCGUUCAUUUCUUUACUGGUUUUCAAAAUAAAGAUUGGUCCGAAGGUGAUCAAUGAGGAUCUCCCACACCCUUUUUCUUUUUUAGUAUCAUCAAUGGCUUUUCUGCUUCAUCAUUUUAGUCUCAGCAUGGGUUGUAACAUAUAUUAUAUGUUUCCAAAUGUUGAUGAUUUUUGUGUGUUUUUUUGGGGAGUGGUGGAGGGAUAUUUAAUUUAUCCCAUCUUUGGCCAGUGGGAGCCGCUUCUCUUCAGACUUGCUACCAAGGCCCCAUACAGUAGUUGAUAGCUUCCUGCUAUCACAAUAAGCAAGAGGUUACAGACUCAUCUUGUUCAUCUUCUGCCCCUAACCUAGAAUCGGCCAUUUCUCUAAGGAACCAAGAAAUUCACCAUUCUUAACCAUUUACACUCUAUUAUCUCUGUAUUUUCCUUGAGCAUACACCUGGGGAAUGAGAAGGAAGGAGGAAGAGAAAAAAAUAACUGAAGAGGGCCAAGUAAAAGGGCAAAGAAGAAAAGUGUAACAUGGCCAUCUGAGAAGCUUGCACAAAAUGUGAUGCAAACAUUACUCCAAAAACCUGACAGGCAAAGUGACAAGUAAAUACAGUGGGGAAGCACUUGCUAGACCCUGGCCUGGAAUUUACUCCAAGGACAGGAAACAUGGUGAGGGAAAGAUUGGCAUUAGAACAAUUUGAUGAAAUAGGCAAGAGUUUCAUGCUUGAGUAAGACAGGCUCUGCCCUGGGCCAGUACCAUAGUGAGAAUUCAAAUUCUAUCCUCAGCAAUGGAAGGGGCCUCCAAGGACACCCAUUAGGUACAACGUCCUCUGGUCUAAGUGAAGUGAGGUCUGCCUAUAUUAGCCCCACAUCUUUGCUACCAAAGACUCUCCUUCCCUUUCCUCAUGGUACACAUUUUAUCCCAAUAUCCUUGCAGCAUUCAUUGAGUCAUCAAAUGUUUAUUAAGAAGCCACCAAGUACAACAUGCUGUGCUUGAUCAAUUGAACAAGGGGAGACCUGGUCUCUUCCUGCAGAGUUCACAGGCCAGUGGAGAGAGAUCUCAAUCAAUAAGCACACAGCUACAUGCAGGAGUAGCAAGUACCAUCAGGGAGAGGCUCAUGGUGAUUUGGUAGUGUAUUUCGUAGUAUAAAACAGAGGCACUAAAGGAGGGCCUGGAGGUAAAGGCAGGGCUGCUAGAGCAUGAGAUUUUUAGAUGGAGAAAUAGUGUUUGUAGGUACCAAGGCUCCGGGGUAGGAGGAAACAGAGCAUACACAAAUAAUUGUAACAAAGUCAUGGAAUCCAGAGCAAAGAAAGGAAAAAGGAACACAGCGCACCAUGAGCCUGGAAAUGCAGCAAGGAGCCAGACUCAGCAGGAACUUCCAGGCAUUCAGUGUUUGUGUUCACUAAGUUAUUGGCUACAGUGGUUGUUUAAGGAUCAAGAGACCUUAAGACUCAGAGGUAAGAUGGAAUGACAUGCUGUAGGUUCAUAAUAUGGGAUAGAAAGCCUUCUCAGCGACCCUUAGAUUAGCAGCAGUGGACCAUGAGUAAACAGAAACGUGGACCUCAAAGAACAAGGCAAGAGAGGCCCAGGGCCAUUCACAGGCUAUAAAACCAAACAGCUGUAAUUCACAAGAAAUGGAAACAUGGAUUUUCAUCCUCAGGACAUGAAAUAAGUGCUCCCAUUACAGAAAAUUAAGAUUCAGUCACUACCAAGGGAAACAAAACAGCAGAGAAAUCUCUGCAACAAAGACUUUUAUGACACACCAAUACAGGAAACUUUUUUCUUUUUUGAAUUCACUGUUGGAAG